rnacentral:rRNA from 1 species
CCUAGCUGGUCUGAGAGGAUGAUCAGCCACACUGGAACUGAGACACGGUCCAGACUCCUACGGGAGGCAGCAGUGGGGAAUAUUGCACAAUGGGCGCAAGCCUGAUGCAGCCAUGCCGCGUGUGUGAAGAAGGCCUUCGGGUUGUAAAGCACUUUCAGUCGUGAGGAAGGUAGUGUAGUUAAUAGCUGCAUUAUUUGACGUUAGCGACAGAAGAAGCACCGGCUAACUCCGUGCCAGCAG